rnacentral:rRNA from 1 species
AGAGUUUGAUCCUGGCUCAGAACGAACGCUGGCGGCGUGCCUAACACAUGCAAGUCGAACGUGAUUGAGGAGCUUGCUCCUCAUGAAAGUGGCGCACGGGUGAGUAACGCGUAGAUAAUCUACCUGAUGAUCUGGGAUAACACUUCGAAAGGGGUGCUAAUACCUGAUAAGCUCACGGAGUCCUUGGAUUCUGCGAGAAAAGGGGGGGACCUUUAUCGGCCUUCCGUCAUCAGAUGAGUCUGCGUACCAUUAGCUAGUUGGUAGGGUAAUGGCUCACCAAGGCGACGAUCGGUAGCUGGUCUGAGAGGAUGAUCAGCCACACUGGUACUUAGACACGGACCAGACUCCUACGGGAGGCAGCAGUGGGGAAUAUUGCGCAAUGGACGAAAGUCUGACGCAGCAACGCCGCGUGGGUGAAGAAGGCCUUCGGGUCGUAAAGCCCUGUCAGGUGGGAAGAAACCUGCGUAAGCAGCUGACGGUACCACCAAAGGAAGCACCGGCUAACUCCGUGCCAGCAGCCGCGGUAAUACGGAGGGUGCAAGCGUUGUUCGGAAUCACUGGGCGUAAAGCGCGUGUAGGCGGUUUAUUAAGUCUGAUGUGAAAGCCCUGGGCUCAACCUGGGAAGUGCAUUGGAUACUGGUAGACUUGAGUACGGGAGAGGGUAGUGGAAUUCCUAGUGUAGGAGUGAAAUCCGUAGAUAUUAGGAGGAACACCGGUGGCGAAGGCGGCUGCCUGGACCGAUACUGACGCUGAGACGCGAAAGCGUGGGGAGCAAACAGGAUUAGAUACCCUGGUAGUCC